UACGGGGGAGGCAAGCGUUAUCCGGACUUAUUGGGCGUAAAGCGUCCGUAGGUGGUUGACCAAGACUGCUGUCAAAGGGUGGAGCCUAACCGCAGAAAGGCAGAGGAUACUGGUGAGAUAGAGUGCGGUAGGUGUAACUGCAAUUCCCAGUGUAGCGGUGAAAUGCGUAGAGCUUGGGAAGAACAUCGGGGGCGAACGCGCCUUGCUGGGGCUGUACUGACGCUGAGGGACGAAAGCUAGUGGAGCGAAAGGG
rnacentral:rRNA from 1 species